rnacentral:rRNA from 1 species
AUACGUAGGGGGCGAGCGUUGUCCGGAAUGAUUGGGCGUAAAGGGCGCGUAGGCGGCGCGGUAAGUCUGGAGUGAAAGUCCUGCUUUCAAGGUGGGAAUUGCUUUGGAUACUGCCGCGCUUGAGUGCAGGAGAGGUUAUCGGAAUUCCCGGUGUAGCGGUGAAAUGCGUAGAGAUCGGGAGGAACACCAGUGGCGAAGGCGGGUAACUGGACUGCAACUGACGCUGAGGCGCGAAAGUGUGGGGAGCAAACAGGAUUAGAUACCCUGGUAGUCCACACGGUAAACGAUGAAUGCUAGGUGUAAGAGGUAUCGGCCCCUUUUGUGCCGGAGUCAACACAAUAAGCAUUCCGCCUGGGGAGUACGGCCGCAAGGUUGAAACUCAAAUGAAUUGACGGGG